UACGUAGGGUGCAUGCGUUAAUCGGAAUUACUGGGCGUAAAGCGUGCGCAGGCGGUUUUGCAAGUCUGUCGUGAAAGCCCCGGGCUCAACCUGGGAAUUGCGAUGGAGACUGCAAGGCUUGAAUCUGGCAGAGGGGGGUAGAAUUCCACGUGUAGCAGUGAAAUGCGUAGAGAUGUGGAGGAACACCGAUGGCGAAGGCAGCCCCCUGGGGCAAGAUUGACGCUCAUGCACGAAAGCGUGGUGAGCAAACAUG
rnacentral:rRNA from 1 species